CAAGACUCCUACGGGAGGCAGCAGUGGGGAAUAUUGCACAAUGGGGGAAACCCUGAUGCAGCGACGCCGCGUGAGUGAAGAAGUAUUUCGGUAUGUAAAGCUCUAUCAGCAGGGAAGAAAAUGACGGUACCUGAUUAAGAAGCCCCGGCUAACUACGUGCCAGCAGCCGCGGUAAUACGUAGGGGGCAAGCGUUAUCCGGAUUUACUGGGUGUAAAGGGAGCGUAGACGGCAGCGCAAGUCUGAAGUGAAAUGCCGGGGCUUAACCCCGGAACUGCUUUGGAAACUGUGUAACUUGAGUGCAGGAGAGGUAAGCGGAAUUCCUAGUGUAGCGGUGAAAUGCGUAGAUAUUAGGAGGAACACCAGUGGCGAAGGCGGCUUACUGGACUGUAACUGACGUUGAGGCUCGAAAGCGUGGGGAGUAAACAGGAUUAGAUACCCCGGUA
rnacentral:rRNA from 1 species